rnacentral:rRNA from 1 species
UACGUAGGGUGCAAGCGUUGUCCGGAAUUAUUGGGCGUAAAGAGCUCGUAGGCGGUUUGUCGCGUCUGCUGUGAAAACUCGGGGCUUAACUCCGGGCCUGCAGUGGGUACGGGCAGACUAGAGUGCGGUAGGGGAGACUGGAAUUCCUGGUGUAGCGGUGAAAUGCGCAGAUAUCAGGAGGAACACCGGUGGCGAAGGCGGUUCUCUGGGCCUGUACUGACGCUGAGGAGCGAAAGCGUGGGGAGCAAACAGG